rnacentral:rRNA from 1 species
UACGAGGGGGGCAAGCGUUGUUCGGAUUUAUUGGGCGUAAAGGGUGCGUAGGCGGUUUGGCAAGUCUGAUGUGAAAUCUAUGGGCUCAACCCAUAGUCUGCAUCAGAAACUGCCGGGCUUGAGUAUGGGAGAGGUGAGUGGAAUUUCCGGUGUAGCGGUGAAAUGCGUAGAUAUCGGAAGGAACACCUGUGGCGAAAGCGGCUCACUGGACCAUAACUGACGCUGAUGGCACGAAAAGCUAGGGGAGCAAACAGG